UUGGAGGGCAAGUCUGGUGCCAGCAGCCGCGGUAAUUCCAGCUCCAAUAGCGUAUAUUAAAGUUGUUGCAGUUAAAAAGCUCGUAGUUGAAUUUCGAGAUCGAAUUGUUGGUCGUGCCUCGGUACGUACUGGCAUUAUUGAUUUCUCCCUUCUGAAGAACCACGAUGUCAUUAAUUUGGUGUCGUGGGGAAUCAGGACUGUUACUUUGAAAAAAUUAGAGUGUUUAAAGCAGGCUCACGCUUGAAUACAUUAGCAUGGAAUAAUGAAAUAGGACGUUUGAUUCUAUUUUGUUGGUUUCUAGGAUCGACGUAAUGAUUAAUAGGGAUAGUUGGGGGCAUUAGUAUUCAAUUGUCAGAGGUGAAAUUCUUGGAUUUAUUGAAGACUAACUACUGCGAAAGCAUUUGCCAAGGAUGUUUUCAUUAAUCAAGAACGAAAGUUAGGGGAUCGAAGACGAUCAGAUACCGUCGUAGUCUUAACCAUAAACUAUGCCGACUAGGGAUCGGAUGAUGUUAAUUUUUUAAUGACUCAUUCGGCGCCUUACGAGAAAC
rnacentral:rRNA from 1 species